UGGGGAAUAUUGGACAAUGGGCGAAAGCCUGAUCCAGCCAUGCCGCGUGUGUGAAGAAGGCCUUUUGGUUGUAAAGCACUUUAAGUGGGGAGGAAAAGCUUAUGGUUAAUACCCAUAAGCCCUGACGUUACCCACAGAAUAAGCACCGGCUAACUCUGUGCCAGCAGCCGCGGUAAUACAGAGGGUGCAAGCGUUAAUCGGAAUUACUGGGCGUAAAGCGCGCGUAGGUGGUUAUUUAAGUCAGAUGUGAAAGCCCCGGGCUUAACCUGGGAACUGCAUCUGAUACUGGAUAACUAGAGUAGGUGAGAGGGGAGUAGAAUUCCAGGUGUAGCGGUGAAAUGCGUAGAGAUCUGGAGGAAUACCGAUGGCGAAGGCAGCUCCCUGGCAUCAUACUGACACUGAGGUGCGAAAGCGUGGGUAGCAAACAGGAUUAGAUACCCUGAUAGUCCACGCCGUAAACGAUGUCUACCAGUCGUUGGGUCUUUUAAAGACUUAGUGACGCAGUUAACGCAAUAAGUAGACCGCCUGGGGAGUACGGCCGCAAGGUUA
rnacentral:rRNA from 1 species